GGCAGCACGGAGCUUGCUCUGGUGGCGAGUGGCGAACGGGUGAGUAAUAUAUCGGAACGUACCCUAGAGUGGGGGAUAACGUAGCGAAAGUUACGCUAAUACCGCAUACGAUCUAAGGAUGAAAGUGGGGGAUCGCAAGACCUCAUGCUCGUGGAGCGGCCGAUAUCUGAUUAGCUAGUUGGUAGGGUAAAAGCCUACCAAGGCAUCGAUCAGUAGCUGGUCUGAGAGGACGACCAGCCACACUGGAACUGAGACACGGUCCAGACUCCUACGGGAGGCAGCAGUGGGGAAUUUUGGACAAUGGGCGAAAGCCUGAUCCAGCAAUGCCGCGUGAGUGAAGAAGGCCUUCGGGUUGUAAAGCUCUUUUGUCAGGGAAGAAACGGUGAGAGCUAAUAUCUUUUGCUAAUGACGGUACCUGAAGAAUAAGCACCGGCUAACUACGUGCCAGCAGCCGCGGUAAUACGUAGGGUGCAAGCGUUAAUCGGAAUUACUGGGCGUAAAGCGUGCGCAGGCGGUUUUGUAAGUCUGAUGUGAAAUCCCCGGGCUCAACCUGGGAAUUGCAUUGGAGACUGCAAGGCUAGAAUCUGGCAGAGGGGGGUAGAAUUCCACGUGUAGCAG
rnacentral:rRNA from 1 species